GGAGAGGUGCCAGAGUGGCCGAAUGGGCCGGUCUCGAAAACCGGUGUGCCCUCACGGGUACCGAGGGUUCGAAUCCCUCCCUCUCCG
rnacentral:tRNA from 1 species